UUGUGUGUGAUGCAAGCCAGGAGUGGGUAUAAAACCAGCGUGUCUGCAGCAUUCUGCAUCCGUCUUUCAACUGAAGAACAUUGGAUGUUUUGUGGGAAAAAUUAAAAAUUUUCAGUUUAAAAUUUAGAAAAUGGGACCCAAGAAGAAGCGAGCAAAAGUGAAGUAACCCAGCCUGAAACAGCAGAGGGGGAGGAGGAGGAAGAAUUUGAUGAUGAUGGUAGCAGCACUGGCAAGCCCUGCACGGACAGGGAGAAGUAUGCCUUCAAGCCGGCAGAAGGCACAGUACCCCGCCAGAGGUAUUUUCACAGCUAACGACACCCAGAAGUGAGGACAUUGCAAUCCCAUCAUUGCUGCCAGGCCAUUGUGCCAUGCUCAGUGAUAAGGACAUGGACAUCCCGACACCCCGUCCCACCACUCAGCAGGAGCAGGACAGUAGCUCGGAGUCAGAGUCAAAACUGGAGUUUCCACCUCACUGCUGCAUUUCCCCGCCCUUCCAUGUGUCAUGUCUGAAACCAACAAUCCAAGGUCCUCUGGCAGAAAAUACUCUCGUCCCAGAACAACAACCCCUAAGUCUCGAAGGAGAACCUAUCUACCAGGUAAACAGAAUUCUCGACUCCAGAAGAAGAAGAGGUCAAGUGGAGUACCUGGUAGAAUGGGAGGGCUAUGGACCAGAGGAACGGAGCUGGGUAAUGGCUAAGGACAUCCUCAACCCCCUGCUAACUCAAGAAUUUCACACUCAGCACCCUGACA